rnacentral:rRNA from 1 species
UACGGAGGGGGCAAGCGUUGUUCGGAAUUACUGGGCGUAAAGGGCGCGCAGGCGGCUGCUCAAGUCAGGCGUGAAAGGCCUGGGCUCAACCCGGGAAUUGCGCUUGAGACUGGGCUGGCUUGAGUGCGGGAGAGGAUGGUGGAAUUCCCAGUGUAGAGGUGAAAUUCGUAGAUAUUCGGAAGAACACCAGUGGCGAAGGCGACUCACUGGCCCGUUACUGACGCUGAGGCUCGAAAGCGUGGGGAGCAAACAGG